UACAGAGGGUGCAAGCGUUGUUCGGAAUUAUUGGGCGUAAAGGGCGUGUAGGUGGUUUCGUAAGUCUGGCGUGAAAUAUCUCGGCUUAACCGAGGCAGGUCGUCGGAUACUGCGGAACUGGAGGACGGUAGAGGCGUGUGGAAUUCCGGGUGUAGUGGUGAAAUGCGUAGAUAUGCGGAGGAACACCGAUGGCGAAGGCAAUCCCCUGGGCCUGCACUGACGCUCAUGCACGAAAGCGUGGGGAGCAAACAGG
rnacentral:rRNA from 1 species